rnacentral:rRNA from 1 species
AUACGUAGGGGGCGAGCGUUGUCCGGAAUGACUGGGCGCAAAGGGCGUGUAGGCGGCUGGAUAAGUCUGGAGUGAAAGUCCAGCAUUCAAUGUGGGAAUUGCUUUGGAGACUGUAUGGCUUGUGUGCGUAAGAGGUAAGUGGAAUUCCCAGUGUAGCGGUGAAAUGAGUAGAGAUUGGGAGGAACACCAGUGGCGAAGGCGACUUACUGGACUGUAACUGACGCUGAGGCGCGAAAGUGUGGGGAGCAAACAGGAUUAGAUACCCUGGUAGUCCACACUGUAAACGAUGAAUGCUAGGUGUAGGGGGUAUCGACCCCUUCUGUGCCGCAGUCAACACAAUAAGCAUUCCGCCUGGGGAGUACGGCCGCAAGGUUGAAACUCAAAGGAAUUGACGGGG